GUCAUGCAUCGGUAUGUGAGGA
rnacentral:siRNA from 1 species